GACGAACGCUGGCGGCGUGCUUAACACAUGCAAGUCGAACGAUGAAGCUGGAGCUUGCUCCGGUGGAUUAGUGGCGAACGGGUGAGUAACACGUGAGCAAUCUGCCCUUGACUCUGGGAUAACUGCGGGAAACUGUAGCUAAUAACGGAUAUGGGAUCUGAAGGCAUCUUCGGGCUUGGAAAGAAUUUCGGUCAAGGAUGAGCUCGCGGCCUAUCAGCUAGUUGGUGAGGUAAUGGCUCACCAAGGCGCCGGCGGGUAGCCGGCCUGAGAGGGUGACCGGCCACACUGGAACUGAGACACGGUCCAGACUCCUACGGGAGGCAGCAGUGGGGAAUAUUGCACAAUGGGCGAAAGCCUGAUGCAGCAACGCCGCGUGAGGGAUGAAGGCCUUCGGGUUGUAAACCUCUUUUAGCAGGGAAGAAGCGAAAGUGACGGUACCUGCAGAAAAAGCACCGGCUAACUACGUGCCAGCCGCCGCGGUAA
rnacentral:rRNA from 1 species